GCCCGUUUGGCUCCCGUCCUGCGCUGCGCUCUGCGGCCGGCUGCGAGCGAGGCGCUCUGCGGGCGCGGGUGACGCGCGCUCGGGUCUGCCGAAGCUUAGAGGUUUCGGACUGGAGCGUUUGCAUCCUGCUUCCCUCCCCCGGACCCUGUCGCUUCGCUCCAGGGGAAAACGCCCCGCGCUAUAGCUGAUUUUCCCCCAGUCCCCUUUGCCUCUUCCGCUAUGGCUUCAAGGAGCCUUCUCCUGCACGUUUUGCACACCCAAAACACUCCUUGAACUCGGCCGUGAGGGUGCAAAGAAUGCAGGCUGAUGCCGCCGAGGCCGGGUGAGUGCUCUAUGCCGGCUAACACACACGUCUCCUUCGCCAUCCUUCCUUGUCCUUAUUUUUGUCCCGCCUCCGGAUGGGGGGGGGGGGUGAGUGACAACCUCAGAAAGUGCUAGCAACCAACAUCCGUUCACACGAGUUUGCAACAGAAAAUCCGGAAAGCAGCGGAAGGUUCCCAGCGCCUGUUGAAAGAGCGUAUCCCAUAAGUGGAGCAAAGAGAAAAGAGCGGGAAGCUCCUUCUUUCAUCACCUGACCGCAGAGUCCUAACCCGCGCUCCUGACGCCGCUACCUAGCAAGCAGUGGAGGGGGUGAUAGCUAGAGCCCUGCCCGGAGCGGGGCGAACUUAGCGAAGCAGUGGGGCAGCCCCAGAGCGCUCCCGCAGUUCCGAGCUGCGGCGGCUGGGAGCUCUAGGGCCGCAGAGCACCUGCCGCUCCAAGCCGGUGAUGAGCGCUUCUCCCUUGUUUCCUUCGCUGUUGAGAGUGGGAAGUCGAGGAAAGGGAACUUUAGACCGAGCAGCUGUGAAAAUCGCUUUUUUUUCCGUGCAGGACUUUAUUUGUAAAAUUCCUAGGGGUGAAACCACACACAGGUCCCAACAGUGGCAAAUCGAGGUGAAUAGCGUGUGUCUCGCACACACAAGGAUACUGCAAACAUGGAAAAAUAUACAAGGACUGGGAAUAUAUUCCCGCUGUGUUAAAUAUUCCUUAUUGCUAAUGGGGGGGGGGGGUUGGUUAAGGCCCAUUCCUGCAAACAAUUUACCCAUGAGUAAUCCUAAUAUGUUCUAUGGGUCUCAUGACGCUUGUUUUUUCACAUCGGUUCUGGUUUCCCCUGUGUUUGCUAAAGGACUUGUUGAGAGGCUCAGAAGAUGUUCUUUGUUAGUUUUCACACCUUAAGGGAAGGAGUAAGGCUGUGGAGAUUUUACUUUAAACAAAAAUUUCCUUUUGUUUUAGUUAAAUAAGUGUUUUUUAAAGAGCAAACCAAACACAAAGUAUUUCAUAUAGUCAAACUAAAAAUCACUUCCUAUCUAGGGCCCUAAUGAUGCGACCUGCUUUGCGUGGCCUAGAUCAUGGCCUAGAUUAGUCAACUUUCACUCUCUUGGUCCUUGUGUUGUCAAAAUUCACUAGUUCUCCAACCAUCAUAAAAUCUCCUAGGCCAGACGAUUCCUGAAACUUCUAAUGUGGAAAAAAAAUCCCAGCAAUAUAUAUUUUUAUUGUGUUUUUUGAGUUCUUUAUACAUCCUGGAAAAAAAAUAAGGGCACAGGUCCAAAAUUUUUUUCCUCUGUUCAGGUCACCUUUAAUUUAGCCACAUAGUAUACAUUCAGGAUUGUUUAUUACUCCUUAAACCCACAAAAUGUGCAAUUUAAUAUAUGGUAUGUGCAAUGUGGUCAAGCUAAUAUUGCUAUUCAAACCUUAAAGGGACAUCAGUUUAAAAACUGAGUUUCUGUACCUUUGUUAGUGAUAAAUAUUUAUUAACUUUUGCAUUUAUAUUAACUCUUAGUCAUACUAAUGUUUACAGCCUUUACAUUGCAGUAAUUAAUUUCCCUGAGGAUGAGAGGUGAAAAAUUUAAACACACACACACACACACACACACACAGAGUGAAAAGAGCAAUGGAAAGGGUUUUACACCACCAUUCUAUGAAGAACUAAAUAUCUGAUGGCCAGACUAUGGAUUUGUUCAGUUCCAUAGUGCCAUGGAUAGUUAAAACCUAUUGGGUAUUCCUAGCAUUUACCAUGGUUUAUUAAACGUGUUUUAGAUAUGUUUUAGUGCCUAUUAAAAUCUUAAAGAGGUUUUAUUUCCUGGAAAAAUCAUAGUGAGAAUGAGCUGGAUGCAUUUCUGAUUUUUUUUUGACAUAUUUCUUCCUAAUUUUCUGACAAUAUGUACCUAGGCUUGCUAUUUAUAUCCUAUCUGCAACAGCAGCGAGCUAUGACAACAAAAUUCCAUUAUAUUAAUAAGAGAGAAUCUAGAGGACUAAAACCCAGGUUUGCAGGGCUCUUGGUGAUCAACACUUUCGCACCAGCAGCCAUAGGAGAACUGUGAUCCAUGUGCUAUAAAUGCUGGGGGGAAGGGGUAAAGCUAAUCACCACAGGAAGUGCUACUCAUAGAAGACUCAGUUGGCAGCACCCCAUGACCUUUGGUCCAAAUGCACUAUUUAAGCAUGGAGGGAGUUCCAGGAAGAUGUAUAAGCACCUUAGAAGCCUGACUUCUGGUCCUACCCGCUAUACAAGACUGACCACAUCCUGGUUGUGAUAUAACCUGCAAGAUGCCCCGUAUUUCCUAAUUUAAUAACAAAAUCCUCUAAUGGAACAUACUACAGUGUCUAACUAUGAUUUUAUAAGCAGCAGAGACAGUCAUAUGAGCUAAUUGUGCUUCUUGCUGGAAUAGUAAUGAGUCUCAGUAGUGGAAGCCACCCCUAUAACCAGGGUAGAGGAAGAUAUAAACAAGCAGGGAAUAAGCAACUGUUGGAAUCUACAGGCUAGAAUUCCAUCCUGUCUUGGGGCACACCAUUCAUUUGAGUCUCAUUCAGAACAGGAAGAUGAUGGCAUCAAAAAUCCUGGACAUGUACACUGGGAAGGGAAGAAUUAACCAGGAAGAAAAAACUUGGACUGUUUACCAGCAAUCUGCCUGCAAGCCUUACUUUCUCUGUGUUGUGGAAAGAAGACACUCCUCAAAAUAGUCUGAGAAAUAGCUAGAGGCUGCCAUACCUUCUUUUGAGGAGGGAAGAUAUCCCAAAUAAAAUAUAAUAUUUUAUUUUUUAA